CUAAACUGCCGCCUCCCCCACUCUACAGAACCAACCCGUUCUCUCUUCCUCCUCCUCCUCCUCCUCCUCCUCCUCCUCCCCGCCCCGCCGCCACCUCCACUCCUCCCCGCCACCGCGUCCUUCCCUUCUCUCCCCGCCCCACUGCAGCCUCCUCCCCUCCUCCCCUCGUCCCCCCGCCUCCUCCCUCAGCGGCGGCGCGCUGGCACACUCACGAGGACGCAGCGGCGCGGUGCGGCGAGGAUGAGGCGGCGGGCGGGACGAGGAGCGGCGCACGGAUCCGCGGGGCUGCAGCGGGGACGGUGAUGCGGCGGCGCGCAGGGCAAUUUUCGCCUCAUGGUUAUCAGUGCCGCGUAAUGGUCCUCCUCCCCCUUCCCCUUCCCUCUCCCUGAUUGAGGCAUGGACGGGUUAGGAUCCAGAGAUUUGGAGCUAGGGUAGGGUGGGGAUUAGGCAUGGAGAGCCUCUCCAGGCUUGCCAGCGAGCUCGACGACGUCGAGACCAACGAGGCUUCCACGCCCCCUAAGCCCCCACCCUCCUUCUCGCAGGAUAUGGCGCCCCCGCACCAGAGGAGCAGCGGUGGCGCUCGCGCGACUGUGGGAGCUCUACUGAGAGAGCUUCCUGGAUCCACGAGGAGAAAGGAGGGAGGUAACGACCAUGGUGGCUAAGGAGGUCUCCACACCGCCGGCCCUGAUGAAGGGGCGAAGGCCUUUCCUCUUCAUCCCUCGGUCUUGCUUCGCACUCUCCGCUAGAGCCCCAUGGAUGCUCUUCAAUCUCCAUCAUCAAGUAUUCAAGAGCUGGCUCAUACGAACCGAGUGAUGCAAUCGAUCCAUGUUUGUAGCUAGAGGAUGUUGUCCGUUGCAAUGGGGGUGUAGGCAAGCAUGACAGGGUGCUGCAGGAGCCGUUCGGGGACGCAGUGGUGGAUGUGGGAGGGAGUUUGUGCUGCUUGUCACCACCGCAUUCAUACUUGCCGCCGCUUGUGUUCGAGCAGCCAUGUCUGUCAGUUCACAACUCACUGAACUCAAUUGCCAUAUACAUUUUGGUUAUUUUUUCCUAAGCAAUAGAUAAAGGGGGGAUUGGUAGUUUAGAUUUUGGUCAUUUUUCUGAGCAAUUUACUGUAUGCAUGCUAAGCAUUUUAUAUUGAAUUUAUAAGCAAUUUUAUAUGAGCCACUACCACUAUGCAGUAAUGGUUAUACAAUAAGGGUAGUCUACUUUUAGGAUUUAGGCAAUUUACAAGCAAUGCAUGCAAAGCUUUUAAUAGUGAAACUGGGAGCAAUUCUAUUUGUGUCAGUAUGUAGUUUGUUAUGCAACUAUGGUUGUCUAGUUUUGUGGUUGUAUCUAUAUGAUGUGUAUGACCUCCCAUAUUUUACUUUAACAUAUGGUAGAUUAUAAGCACCUAUGUUAUUUGUCUUGUCAUUUUUGAGACAUGAUUUAGCAUUUGGAUGAUUGCCUUUUUACUUUUUAUAGGCAACUUGUGUGAAAUCAAUAAGCAAGUUAUGUAUUUUGGUUUAGUAUUUUUCGUGUUCUAACUAGCAUUUUUGGUGUUAAGCUGAUCUGCCAUUUUUAACUGAUUUUAAUUUGUUCUUGGUGCAUAUUGCAAUUUAUAUAUUAGCUAGAAAAUAACACUUUCAGUAUAGUUUUGAUCCCCAGUUUUGUAAUAAACAGUGAUAAAUAACUAUAGACAAAUAACCAGUUUUGCGAUAAGCAGUGAUAAAUAAGUAUAGCAAAUAAAACAGGUUAUACUUCUGCUCAAACAACAGGGUACUGCUGCCUUUUCUUUUGUGUUCAUGUAAUUUGGGGCGAUGUGAAAUAUUGGGGGAGGCAGAUCUUUUGUUGUUUGUGUGAACUACAAUAUAUACUUGAUGUUGUAUCAAUUUUCAUAUUUGGUUAGUUUUACCAUUUUGGUUCUACUGGCCAAUUUCUGAAGGAAAAAUUCAUUUUAGUUUAGCACGUUUUGUAUUCUAGUUUAGCAGUUUUGUACUCUGAUUAUCUAUCCUCUUAAUUUAUACUGAUUUAAUUCUUGUGUUUAGUACUUUGUGCUUGGUUCUGUAGCAGACUCGUACAAAUUUGAAGGAGCCAGUCAAUGCAUUUUAAUUUGGUGCUAGGGGAUGAGGCCUGAAGACUUGUUUUUGUGAAUGUUUAGAAUUUAACUAGAUGGGUGAAAAUACCAUUGUAUAUGUUCUAAGUUGCUUACAUGUUUUCAAAGUUCUGCCUAUGAGAUCCUGAGAAGUUGCUUUUUUACAUUGUAACUGUUGAUUUGAUUUACCAAUGUUAUGAAGUUAACAACAUCCAGAA